rnacentral:rRNA from 1 species
AGAGUUGAUCAUGGCUCAGGAUGAACGCUAGCGACAGGCUUAACACAUGCAAGUCGAGGGGCAGCAUAAAAGUAGCAAUACUUGGUGGCGACCGGCGCACGGGUGAGUAACGCGUAUGCAACCUACCUAUCAGAGGGGAAUAACCCGGCGAAAGUCGGACUAAUACCGCAUAAACAGGGGCACCGCAUGGUGAUAUUUGUUAAAGAAAUUCGCUGAUAGAUGGGCAUGCGUUCCAUUAGGUAGUUGGUGAGGUAACGGCUCACCAAGCCGACGAUGGAUAGGGAACUGAGAGGUUGGUCCCCCACACUGGUACUGAGACACGGACCAGACUCCUACGGGAGGCAGCAGUGAGGAAUAUUGGUCAAUGGGCGGGAGCCUGAACCAGCCAAGUCGCGUGAAGGAAGAAGGAUCUAUGGUUCGUAAACUUCUUUUGCAGGGGAAUAAAGUGCAGGACGUGUCCUGUUUUGUAUGUACCCUGAGAAUAAGGAUCGGCUAACUCCGUGCCAGCCGCAGC